CAUAUACUCCCUCCGUCCGGAAUUACUUGUCAUCAAAAUGGAUGAAAAUGGAUGUAUCUAGAACUAAAGUACAUCUAGAUACAUCCAUUUCAAUGACAAGUAUUUCCGGACGGAGGGAGUAUUAA
rnacentral:pre_miRNA from 1 species